UACAGAGGUGGCAAGCGUUGUUCGGAAUUACUGGGCGUAAAGGGCUCGUAGGCGGUUUGUUGCGUCGGGAGUGAAAACCUACAGCUUAACUGUGGGCUUGCUUUCGAUACGGGCAGACUAGAGGUAUGCAGGGGAGAACGGAAUUCCUGGUGUAGCGGUGAAAUGCGCAGAUAUCAGGAGGAACACCGGUGGCGAAGGCGGUUCUCUGGGCAUGAUCUGACGCUGAGGAGCGAAAGUGUGGGGAGCGAACAGG
rnacentral:rRNA from 1 species